GAGAUUUACCAGGAUGUUGCCUGGAUUGGAGAACAAGUCAUAUGAAGCAAGGUUAGCAGAGCUGGGACAUUUCUCUUUGCAGCGUAGAAGAAUGAGAAGGGACUUGAUAGAGGUCUACAAGAUUAUGAGAGGCAUAGAUAGGGUGGAUAGUCAGUACCUGUUUCCCAGGACACCAAUAGCAAACACCAGAGGGCAUAGGUACAAAAUUAAGGAAGGGAAGUUUAGGGGAGACAUCAGGGGUAAGUUUUUUUACACAGAGGGUUGUGAGUGCCUAGAAUGACUUGCCAGGGAUGGUGGUGGAGGCUGAAACAUUAGGGGUAUUUAAGAGCCUCUUAGACAGGCACAUGGAUGAAAAAAAAAUGGAAGGUUAUGAGGUAGUAUGGGUUUAGUACUUUUUUUUAAGGAUUAUAUUGGUCAGCACAACAUGGAGGGCUGAAGGGCCUGUACUGUGCUGUAGUGUUCUAUGAUUCUAUGGUUUAAAUAUUGAAAGAUCAUUUUUUACUUAGUGCCCUAGUGUCUCUGUAGCUACUCUCAAUAGCGUCUUUAAUUCUCAAAAACCUCCAAAUCAGUUCCAUUGUCAUUGUAAGUUUAUUGUUACAGUAUGUGUAAUGAUCGAAUUUAAUAAACAACCUACCUUAAAUAUUCUGAGGGUCCAGCUUUGUUAAUUGACUUCCAAAAAGUCUGACACCUCAAGGUUCAGGAACAUCUAAUUCCCUACAACUAUCAGGAUCUUGGAACUACCCAGAUAAUCCUAAUCCUAGCUCAACCAACAAAACACCACAGACCACUUUUUUUGUCUACCAUGUGUUCAUCUCUGAUUGUGUUUAUUGGACUAAUGCCUUGUUUGCUACUGUCUUUUUCUUCACUAGUUUGGCCUCCAAGAGGACCACAACCUUGUCGUAGGGUUUGGAGGCUUGCAUUCCUCAAUGAUGUGGACAGCUAAGUUGUCUGGAGUCAUGGCCUUGUGCUUUGUCUUUUGGUAGGGUUACCCAUGUCAAACAGGUCAAAGGGUGGAGGCCAGACUAAGAGUGGUCCACUGGUCCUCCAGACAGAGGUGGAGGACCUUCACUGCUGCCCUAAACAAAUGAGGCUACAGUGAUUGAGAAAAAGCUAAUAGGUUUGAAUACUAUUACAUCAGAGAAGUGACCAUGUUUAGAAGCCAGUGGACAGCUCUAACCACGUGGGUGAAGCAUGUUUGAACUGAAUGAGGACACAAGCAGCAGAACUACCUCGCAGCUAAACAGUGAGGUGGCACGACUAUUCAGAAAUCAGAUGGCGGAGGGGCAAGAAACGGUUUCUGAAUUGAGUGUGGAUCUUCAAGCUCCUGUAUCUCCUCGCUAAUGGCAGUAAUGGGAAGAGAUGUUGCAGAUGGGUGGCGAAAGGUUCUGUUGGAGUCCAUGAUCUACAGCUGCACUCAAACUGCAGAUCUUCACAGCCGUGAGAUUCCACUCCCAGAGUUCACCAUCUUGAAAAAUCCAGGAAUGGUCUGGAAGACUCGUGCCUCAGGGUGUGGCCUUGCUUGCCCCCAUGGGCUCGAUUCUCUCUAUCAGACUGUAUCAUCGUAACUGCAAGCUGUUUGUUGAUCCCACACUUGCUGUGGAAGGGAUAACUCCUCUCUCCCCCUUGUUAGUGAAGGCGAGUGUGCAUGGCAUGUUGAAGUGCUGGGUUUUGGACUGUAGUUUUUGAUGGCCUCUUUGGAGGCUUUGUGUGGUGG